GUGUCAGCCGCCGCGGUAAGACGAGGGAUCCUAGCGUUGUUCGGAAUCAUUGGGCGUAAAGCGUAUGUAGGCGGCCUUGUAAGUCAGGUGUGAAAGCCCCGGGCUCAACCCGGGAAGUGCAUCUGAUACUGCAUGGCUUGAGUACUGGAGAGGAUAGUGGAAUUCCAGGUGUAGUGGUGAAAUACGUAGAUAUCUGGAGGAACACUGGUGGCGAAGGCGGCUAUCUGGCCAUGUACUGACGCUGAGAUACGAAAGCGUGGGGAGCAAACAGGAUUAGAUACCCUGGUAGUCCACGCCGUAAACGAUGGAUACUUGGUGUUGGAGGUAUUGACCCCUUCAGUGCCGAAGCAAACGCGUUAAGUAUCCCGCCUGGGGAGUACGGUCGCAAGAUUAAA
rnacentral:rRNA from 1 species